ensembl:lncRNA
CGCUGACAGACACAGCAAACCUUCUUUCCACAUCUCGCAUUGAUGUGCCAUCCUGGAUGAAGCUGCAGUACCUGAGCCACUUGUGUGGGUUGUAGACUCCGUCUCAUGCUACCACUAGAGUGAAAGCACCGCCAGCAUUCAAGUGACCAAAACAUCAGCCAGGAAGCAUAGGAACUGAGAAGUGGUCUGUGGUUAUCACCUGCAGAACCACUCCUUUAUUGGGGGUGUCUUGCUAAUUGCCUAUAAUUUCCAACUGUUGCACAACAGCAUGUGAAAUUUAUUGUCAAUCAGUGUUGCUUCCUAAGUGGACAGUUUGAUUUCACAGAAGUGUGAUUGACUUGGAGUUACAUUGUGUUGUUUAAGUGUUCCCUUUAUUUUUUUGAGCAGUGUAUAUAUAUAUACACACACACACACACCCCAGUACAACAUGUUGGGAAGAGAGGAGGAGAGCGGUGAAAAGUCAACUGACAGGUUCAUGUCUGCCCAGAGCUGGCUACAGGAGUACAUUAACACCAAUAUGUGAAAUGGCGGGGGGGAGAGAAAGAGAGAGGCGCUUGCGGUCUGUCCCUAAGGAGGCUGGUGUGUGUGGUGUGAGGGGAAUGUCUUGGGAGCGCAGUGUUACUCUGGUGAAGGUAAUAAAUAUACCCGGCAGCACCUCAGAGAUCCACCACCAGCUUUACUGACACAAUAUUAUUCUGCUGCCCCAAACCCCACUGGGACAAUGGGGUGGUGUGUGUAUGGGUUGAGAGAGUAACUCUGGUUAAAGAUUCUGCCCAUAUGAUUGGGUGCCACUGGGGUCGUCAGAGUCCGUUCCCCUGCAGCCUGGUCUCCAAGAAACCAUCACAUCAACUGAUGCCGCAAUUCUCUCAUGAUCAUUUAGUACCUUAUGUAGGCAAGUUGACAUUAAACAUGAUCCUGACCUGAGCAGGAAGAAGUCCAGGCUCUAGUAACAGGUUCCAACUCUGGGCUCUAGUAACAGGUUCCAACUCUGGGCUCUAGUAACAGGUUCCAACUCUGGGUUCUAGUAACAGGGUCCAACUCUGGGUUCUAGUAACAGGAUCCAACUCUGGGUUCUAGUAACAGGGUCCAACUCUGGGCUCUAGUAACAGGUUCCAACUCUGGGCUCUAGUAACAGGUUCCAACUCUGGGUUCUAGUAACAGGGUCCAACUCUGGGCUCUAGUAACAGGUUCCAACUCUGGGCUCUAGUAACAGGGUCCAACUCUGGGCUCUAGUAACGGGGUUCAACUCCGGGCUCUAGUAACGGGGUCCAACUCCGGGCUCUAGUAACGGGGUCCAACUCCGGGCUCUAGUAACGGGGUCCAACUCCGGGCUCUAGUAACGGGGUCCAACUCCGGGCUCUAGUAACGGGGUCCAACUCCGGGCUCAAUCUGUCUGUCAUGUAGAAUAGGGAAUCCAGUCUGCUAUAUUCAUUACGUUUUUAUCUGUGACAUUCUAAAUGUUUCAUCUUGCUGAAUAUACCCCAGCAGAUUUCCAGGAAGGUUAUGGUGUGUUAGGGUGUCGCUAUAGGCUGAAGUGUGCAUGAGGGUGUAAAAUGGGAAUAUACAGUGGUCAGUUUAUUAGGUACACCACCCCGUUUACGAAAUGGUUCGCUCCUACAGACAGUGAGCCACGUGGUCUGCUAUAUAAAGCAGGCAGACAUUGAGGCAUUCCGUUAGAAUGGGCAAAACCAGUGACCUAAGCAACUGAGUGUGGUAUGAUUGUCG